rnacentral:tRNA from 1 species
GCCACCGUGGCGGAAUUGGUAGACGCAAGCGACUUAAAAUUGCUCGGUCGAAAGGCCAUGCCAGUUCGAUUCUGGCCGGUGGCA